GUGGAUAUAGCUCAGCUGGUUAGAGCGCCAGGUUGUGGCCCUGGAGGUCAUGGGUUCGAGUCCCAUUAUCCACCCCA
rnacentral:tRNA from 1 species